UGGGGUGUGGCUCAGGGGUACAGUGCCUGCCUGCCAUGUGCAGGGUCUGGGUUUGAUCCCCAGAAUCCCGG
rnacentral:tRNA from 1 species